rnacentral:rRNA from 1 species
AUUGAACGCUGGCGGCAGGCCUAACACAUGCAAGUCGAGCGGAGCUGCGGACGGGUGAGUACUGCCUAGGAAUCUGCCUGGUAGUGGGGGAUAACGUCCGGAAACGGGCGCUAAUCCCGCAUACUAUCAGAUGAGCCUAGGUCGGAUUAGCUAGUUGGUGGGGUAAAGGCCUACCAAGGCGACGAUCCGUAACUGAUCUGAGUGGAGGAUCAGUCACACGGGGACUGAGACACGGUCCAGACUCCUACGGGAGGCAGUAGUGGGGAAUAUGGGACAAUGGGCGAAAGCCUGAUCCAGCAAUGCCGCGUGAGUGAAGAAGGUCUUCGGAUUGUAAAGCACUUUGAGUUGGGAGGCGUUACCAACAGAAUAAGCACCGGCUAACUUCGUGCCAGCAGCCGCGGUAAUUC